UUCCAAUGAUGAUUAUACUUAGCUCACUUUGAAACUAUGUGAAACGACACGAACAACUGAGCAAC
ensembl:snoRNA SNORD29 Small nucleolar RNA SNORD29